CUCCCUCGUUGCUGAUCUCAGGUUCGAUAAUGCCAAUAUCGCACCACCUUGCCUAAAACCAACUUCGAUGAAGCGACGGGCGGUGUGUG
rnacentral:rRNA from 1 species